rnacentral:rRNA from 1 species
GAUGAACGCUAGCUACAGGCUUAACACAUGCAAGUCGCGGGGUAACAUCUGGUAGAGCUUGCUCUUCCAGGAUGACGACCGGCGCACGGGUGAGUAACGCGUAUCCAACCUGGCCCAUACCACGGGAUAGCCCGUCGAAAGGCGGAUUAAUACCGUAUGCUGUCAUUAAGAGGCAUUUUUGAUGACGAAAGGAACUGGCGGGUAUGGGAUGGGGAUGCGUCUGAUUAGCUUGUUGGCGGGGUAACGGCCCACCAAGGCGACGAUCAGUAGGGGUUCGUGAGAGGAAGGUCCCCACCAUUGGAACUGAGACACGGUCC